rnacentral:rRNA from 1 species
GUGAAGAAGAUUCAGUAGUAUCGCCCCAUUUGCCUCUUUAGGUGCCCAUAUAAAAUGAUCACCAAAGUCUUGGAUAAUAGGGUAGCUAUAUUUGGUGACAAGCUGAUUAGUAAAUACCAGAAUGCUUUCAUCAAGCAUAGAAAUAUUAUGGAUGGUAUCCUUACUCUUCAUGAGUUGUUGCAUUAUACCCGUAAGAAGAAAACUGGUAUUGUACUAAAGCUGGACUUUGAAAAGGCGUAUGAUAAGAUAAACUGGGAUUUCCUACUUGAGUGUCACCGUAAUCGUGGCUUUGGGCCAACUUGGUGUGGAUGGGUGGAAAAGAUUCGGCACAAUGGUACCCUAAGUAUAAAGCUCAAUAAUGAGACAUGCCCAUACUUCCAGAGCCACAAAGGGGUCCGACAAGGUGACCCAUUUUCCCCUUUUCUUUUCAAUCUUGCUGUGGAAGCAUUAUCGAAGAGGGUUACUAAUGCUCAAAAAGAGAAGAUGAUUACUGGGCUGGCGCUGGACCUGGUAGAGGGGGGAUUGUCUAUACUACAAUAUGCAGAUGACACGAUGAUUUGCUUUGAGCAUGACAAACAUGCUACUGUCAACCUUAAAAUGUUGCUCUAUAUGUUUGAACUUAUGUCAAGCUUAAAGAUUAACUUCAUGAAAAGUGAGAUUCCCUGUGUUGGGGGGGAUGAUGACACGAUCUCCUUUUAUGCUGAUAUUUUCAACUGUAGCAUUGGUCACUUCCCAAUUAAGUACUUGGGGGUGCCAGUCAGUUUCUCGAACCUCCGCAACCUAGACUGCAAUUCUGUGGACAAAAGAUUCCUCAAAUGCUGCGAGGCUUGGAUUGGUAAUGCAGCCUCAUCAGGGGGGGCGUCUCAUACUCCUCAACACAUCAUUGACAAGUAUAGUUUACUAUUAUAUGUCUAUGUUCCUUCUUCCUAA